rnacentral:rRNA from 1 species
AUUCCCCCAGUAGCGGCGAGCGAACGGGGAGGAGCCCAGAGCCUGAAUCAGCAUGUGUGUUAGUGGAAGCGUCUGGAAAGGCGCGCGAUACAGGGUGACAGCCCCGUACACAAAAGCGCAUGUGCUGUGAGCUCGAUGAGUAGGGCGGGACACGUGGUAUCCUGUCUGAAUAUGGGGGGACCAUCCUCCAAGGCUAAAUACUCCUGACUGACCGAUAGUGAACCAGUACCGUGAGGGAAAGGCGAAAAGAACCCCGGCGAGGGGAGUGAAAAAGAACCUGAAACCGUGUACGUACAAGCAGUGGGAGCACCCUUUGGGGUGUGACUGCGUACCUUUUGUAUAAUGGGUCAGCGACUUAUAUUCUGUAGCAAGGUUAACCGUAUAGGGGAGCCGGAGGGAAACCGAGUCUUAACCGGGCGUUAAGUUGCAGGGUAUAGACCCGAAACCCGGUGAUCUAGCCAUGGGCAGGUUGAAGGUUGGGUAACACUAACUGGAGGACCGAACCGACUAAUGUUGAAAAAUUAGCGGAUGACCUGUGGCUGGGGGUGAAAGGCCAAUCAAACCGGGAGAUAGCUGGUUCUCCCCGAAAGCUAUUUAGGUAGCGCCUCGUGAAUUCAUCUCCGGGGGUAGAGCACUGUUUCGGCUAGGGGGCCAUCCCGGCUUACCAACCCGAUGCAAACUGCGAAUACCGGAGAAUGUUAUCACGGGAGACACACGGCGGGUGCUAACGUCCGUCGUGAAGAGGGAAACAACCCAGACCGCCAGCUAAGGUCCCAAAGUCAUGGUUAAGUGGGAAACGAUGUGGGAAGGCCCAGACAGCCAGGAUGUUGGCUUAGAAGCAGCCAUCAUUUAAAGAAAGCGUAAUAGCUCACUGGUCGAGUCGGCCUGCGCGGAAGAUGUAACGGGGCUAAACCAUGCACCGAAGCUGCGGCAGCGACGCUGAUGCGUUGUUGGGUAGGGGAGCGUUCUGUAAGCCUGCGAAGGUGGCCUGUGAGGGUUGCUGGAGGUAUCAGAAGUGCGAAUGCUGACAUAAGUAACGAUAAAGCGGGUGAAAAGCCCGCUCGCCGGAAGACCAAGGGUUCCUGUCCAACGUUAAUCGGGGCAGGGUGAGUCGACCCCUAAGGCGAGGCCGAAAGGCGUAGUCGAUGGGAAACGGGUUAAUAUUCCCGUACUUGGUGUUACUGCGAAGGGGGGACGGAGAAGGCUAUGUUGGCCGGGCGACGGUU